GGUGGGGGCUGGGCUGGGGGAGCGCUCAUUAACAUUCUUACAUCAGGGCUCCUCCCCGCACCCCUUCCUUUCCCACCCCUCCGCCGUCCGUAACCCCGGCUCCCCGCUAGCCCCGGGCCUUCCCUUAAAGCCGAGGUCGCCCACGUCUGCAGGCGUGCGCCCGCGGGAGCCCCCACCGCACCAAACCGCCUCCGGGGCCCCCGCCUCUCCCCCGGCAGCACGGGCGCGCUCUCUCCAGCAUCCCGCCUUAAAAAUGAAAAUGCUUUCGAAAGUACAGGAAUGCGCGCAGGCACACGCACGCACGGACACCACGUGCAAAAAUAAACAGGAUCAGAGAAAGGAGUGGUCCUUCAAACAUGGUAGUUUCGGUGCAAACACCCGUAGGUCCGGCUCGCUCUCGCCUCUUCCUCACUCCGGCCACCUUCCCUCCUGACACCCUCCCUUCCCUGCCCCAGGCACGAGGUAAGGGAGCAGGGACCUGGGACCCUGAGCAGGCGGCCGGAUCGCGGACCUGGAGCGCCCCGCUAGGCUCAGCGUUCAGCGCACCCCUCCUCCCCGAGCCCAGGCCCGGCCCCCGCCCCCGGGCAGCGCCGGUGCCGACAGAGGUGUCCGGCAGAGGUGCCCGCUAAGCCUCCGCGUUGCGGGGAUGCCCGGCCCCGCGCACAGACCCUCGGUCUCGGUGCUGCGAGCAGGAAAGCGAAACUUGUUGCUCCCAACGGCGAGCGGAGGGUUGGGCUUCUUGAGGCGGCGAAGAGCCUGAGACGCAUCCUCAAGGCAUCCUCCGAGCUGGGUUCCCUAAGUCAGGUCUGUGAAAUAACACCGCUGCCUACAUUCAUCCUCUACUAGCCGGCAGGACAGCGUUACAUGGGAAACCUUAGCAUGUGGUUCUUUGUUAGAAAUGCCAUCAGAGCGUUUUCUCCACCAACGGUCGUCCGUCUGACCCUCUCCCCCAAAUCCUGGUGGCACCCUCUGAAGUCGGAAGGAGCCCUUCCAGGUGGUCAAAGAGCCUCCUCUUCCUGUCAAGCACUCCCUGAGGUCACUCUGGAGACUGUCCCCAAGACCGUAGCCCACAAAGAAAAUACCUUCCGAGGACGGAAUUGUUGAAAACACACUUCCCCCUAGAGGCAGAAAAGAUGAAACAAUAUUGCACAGAAUUCGGGAAUAUGUUUGUCAUGAAACGAGGGCUGAGAUCUUAUUUGUAACAUGCAGUUGGUGUUUCUGAGAAACCACUCAAGAUGUGGGAGGAAAAUCAAUGAAGAAAUUAAAACUUUGCCUCUAGGUCUUAGCUUUCCUUAGCAGGGACUCUGUUAAUUGGCCCCAUCCUUUUGUUUUGUUUUGUUUUAAUACAAAUCUAAGAUUUUUUUUGCCAGCACUAAAAA